GAGUUUGAUCAUGGCUCAGGAUGAACGCUGGCGGCGUGCCUAAUACAUGCAAGUUGAACGGACUUGGAGGGUGCUUGCACCUAACAAGUUAGUAGCGAACGGGUGAGUAAUACAUAAGCAACCUACCUAUUAGACUGGGAUAACUAUGGGAAACGAUAGCUAAUACCGGAUAGGUAACUUGAAGGCAUCUUUAAGUUAUUAAAGGUUAGAGACACUAAUAGAUGGGCUUAUGGCGUAUUAGUUAGUUGGUGAGGUAACGGCUCACCAAGACGAUGAUACGUAGCCGGCCUGAGAGGGUGAACGGCCACAUUGGGACUGAGACACGGCCCAGACUCCUACGGGAGGCAGCAGUAGGGAAUUUUCGGCAAUGGGCGCAAGCCUGACCGAGCAACGCCGCGUGAGUGAAGAAGGCCUUCGGGUUGUAAAGCUCUGUUAUAAAUUAAGAAUGGCUAUAAGGGACUAUAGAGAU
rnacentral:rRNA from 1 species